UGGGGAAUAUUGGACAAUGGGCGCAAGCCUGAUCCAGCAAUGCCGCGUGAGUGAUGAAGGCCUUCGGGUUGUAAAGCUCUUUUACCUGCGACGAUGAUGACGGUAGCAGGAGAAUAAGCCCCGGCUAACUUCGUGCCAGCAGCCGCGGUAAUACGAAGGGGGCUAGCGUUGUUCGGAAUUACUGGGCGUAAAGGGCGCGUAGGCGGCCCUGUCAGUCAAGCGUGAAAGCCCCGGGCUCAACCUGGGAAUUGCGCCUGAUACUGCAGGGCUUGAGGGUCGGAGAGGAUGGUGGAAUUCCCAGUGUAGAGGUGAAAUUCGUAGAUAUUGGGAAGAACACCGGUGGCGAAGGCGGCCAUCUGGACGACAUCUGACGCUGAGGCGCGAAAGCGUGGGGAGCAAACAGGAUUAGAUACCCUGGUAGUCCACGCUGUAAACGAUGAAUGCUAGACGUUGGGGUUCUUGGAACUUCAGUGUCGCCGCUAACGCAUUAAGCAUUCCGCCUGGGGAGUACGGUCGCAAGAUUA
rnacentral:rRNA from 1 species